rnacentral:rRNA from 1 species
GACGAACCGUGCGAACGUUAUUCGGAAUCGCUGGGCUUAAAGCGCGUGUAGGCGGGGAGGCACGUCCGACGUUGAAAUCCCCCGGCUCAACCGGGGAACUGGCGCGGAUACGACCUUCCUGGAGGGGCGUAGGGGGACCUGGAACUUCCGGUGGAGCGGUGAAAUGCGUUGAGAUCGGAAGGAACGCCCGUGGCGAAAGCGAGGUCCUGGACGCCUACUGACGCUGAGACGCGAAAGCCAGGGGAGCAAACGGG